rnacentral:rRNA from 1 species
AUACAGAGGGUGCAAGCGUUAAUCGGAAUUACUGGGCGUAAAGCGCGCGUAGGCGGUUUAAUCAGUCGGAUGUGAAAGCCCCGGGCUCAACCUGGGAACUGCAUUCGAUACUGUUAAGCUAGAGUAUGGUAGAGGGAAGUGGAAUUCCAGGUGUAGCGGUGGAAUGCGUAGAUAUCUGGAGGAACAUCAGUGGCGAAGGCGACUUCCUGGACCAAUCCUGACGCUGAGGUGCGAAAGCGUGGGGAGCAAACAGGAUUAGAAACCCUAGUAGUCC